rnacentral:sRNA from 1 species
CAAAGAUACCGGAUCUUGUUUGGCCUGGAGUUCCCCAGUUAGGCUGAGCUGGCUGUGUUCGUCCUCUCCUGCUCCUCAGUCUUGGGAUUAUGCUCCUCCACUCCAGGCUUUUCUACACAGUUCUGGACUGAAGCUGGGUCUUCAUGCUUGAAAGCAAGCACUCUUCCCACUGCCCACCCGCUUCCCUGCCCUGUCUCUCUUUCCUUUCUUCACCUUUACUAAAGAUGCAUUUCACAUGCCACAGGAUUCGCCGUGUAAGGCGUACAGCUCAGUGCUGGCUUGAAUAUUCAGAGUUGAACAGAUAUCUAAUUUUAGACCACUGCACCGUCUUCAGAAGAAACCCCAUCCAUCAAGAGUCAGUCCUGUCUCUGCUCCCCUCUUACUGUCUGGGGUUGGGUUUUAAUGUGUUGUAUGUUUACGUGGUUCAGAACUGAAGAUGACAGAGAGCUGUAAAGCAGGUUGCAAAAUACCCGGGAAGUUCUAGCACUUACUCCAUGCCUUCUACAUACCUCCCACAGGUAGCCAUUUUCAUAAGUUGUCUGUUUCCUGCAUUUCUUUAUGCAAAUACACGGGAAAUCCCACGUAAGAUUCCGACUCCCUACCCUCUCUUCACAGAAAGAUAAAGAUCCUUUGAGGGGGAAGCUAAUGUCCUUCGAAUCAUCAGUAAAACGGUUUCACUUGGGAGCUAGUAGUUUCAGGUUACUCGUGGCCCUCAGCAUCGUCACAGGAUUCAGCAUGGCCUCAGGUGGCUCUACAUGCUAGUCAUACCGAGUGGCCCCUGAGGCAGCAAAACCUGAGGACAUCACCAACGCAGCUGCGCAGAUCGCUUAAGUCCUCAUGGAUCUCAGGUUUCAUCUCUUCCUGAGGCAACCGCAUGGGCCACAGUCACCAACAUGGCCUCCAGUGGCUUCGGGGACCACUGUGGUCCUUCAGGGAGGUCCAAUCCAACAAAGAUGUUUAGGAUCAGGCCAUCCAACUCUAAUUAGCAGCUGUGGGACACUCCCUUGCUGCUGAGCUGCCUAGAGAAGAGGACCAUGGGUCAAACAACUACCCCGUGCCAGCCUGAGCCAUCUGGAACAAACCAGAUACCUUGAGGCAACCCUAACGAAGCUGCACUGACUGCGUGGCCCCUGGAAACACAGCUCAGUCAAAGCUCUGUGAAGCAGUUUGUACCAGACUAUUUCGGUCACAAGCCUGAGUGAACCAUGUCCACUUUGGCCAGGGAGCCACUUCUGUGGUGGAAGGGCCACUGUCACUAGUACUAAGGAGCAAGGGCAUGAUUGAUCCCGGGCUAAGAGAUGAGACACUGGUGGCUGUCCAGGACUAAGGUCUGGAUAUCAAGUCCUGCAGGAAGACUGUAGCUCUAGAAAGGCCGCUUGUCAACUGCCUUUGCCUUCCCACUGCCGCUGCACUUCAACCAAGCACUAAACAACAAGAAAGCUGCGAGAGACUUUGUUUGUUCGUUCCUCUGUUUGUGAGUGAGAGGAUCUCCUGUAUCCCAGGCUAGCCUCAAACUGAAAAUAACCUUAAACUUCUGAAACUGCCUUUCCUUUCCAAGUACUGGGUUGUAAGUGUGCACCACCCACUGUGGAUUUAUAUGACCCUGGGAUCAAACUUAGGACCCUAAGUAGAAAGCCCCCUACCAAAUGAGCUACAUCCUCCAUCCCCAAACCGACUUUUAUAGAGUUUCUUGCCUACCCACUUGUAGCUAGAUAGAACAAAAAUCCUCCAGCCAGCUUACUGGUGUCAUGGGGACAGUUGCUUGGUCACCCAGUGCCUACCUUGGAGACACAAACAUCAUAAUUCAUCA